rnacentral:rRNA from 1 species
AUACGGAGGGUGCAAGCGUUGUCCGGAUUUAUUGGGUUUAAAGGGUGCGUAGGUGGUUUAUUAAGUCAGUGGUGAAAUCCUGCAGCUUAACUGUGGAACUGCCAUUGAUACUGGUAAACUUGAGUACUGUUGAGGCAGGCGGAAUUUAUGGUGUAGCGGUGAAAUGCAUAGAUACCAUAAAGAACACCGAUAGCGAAGGCAGCUUGCUUAGCAGUUACUGACACUGAUUCACGAAAGCGUGGGUAGCGAACAGGAUUAGAAACCCCUGUAGUCC